rnacentral:rRNA from 1 species
GGAGGGUGCGAGCGUUAAUCGGAAUCACUGGGCGUAAAGAGCUCGUAGGUGGUUGAAGAAGUCAGAUGUGAAAGUUCUGGGCUUAACCUAGGAAAGCCAUUUGAAACUUUUCGACUAGAGUACAGUAGAGGGAAGCGGAAUUUCCGGUGUAGCGGUGAAAUGCGUAGAUAUCGGAAGGAACACCAGUAGCGAAGGCGGCUUUCUGGACUGAUGCUGACACUGAGGAGCGAAAGCGUGGGUAGCGAACAGGGAUUAGAUACCCUGGUAGUCCACGCCGUAAACGAUGAGAACUAGCUGUUGGGCACGUAAGUGUUUAGUGGCGCAGCAAACGCGUUAAGUUCUCCGCCUGGGGAGUACGGCCGCAAGGCUA